GGGGAUGUACCGGAUUCGACGGGGUGAAGUGUUCACGUAGGAGCAGGUCGUGCUUGGUAAGUGGUGCACGUUAAUUCAACUUGCAAAACAAUAAGUGCUAAUAACACUCCAGUAUAUGCAAUGAACUCAGUUCCUGUAUAUAGUUUAGCUGCUUAAUAAUUAAGUGACUAACCAUCUGCGCAAAUGUUCGUUUAUCGGCUUUUGAGGUAGGUGUAACUAAACCUUAGAUAAACUGGUAUGGAAUGGAUUUUCGGCGUUCCAUAUAAGAUAACACCGCAAACAGCGGAAACGCUCCUGUCGUUUGGAUACCGUUUACGUUAAACUUAAAAAACGAAUAAGCUUGUAGAAUCUACGGCUCACGCAUUUCGGACGCGGGUUCGACUCCCGCCAUCUCCACUA
rnacentral:tmRNA from 1 species